rnacentral:rRNA from 1 species
UGGUAGUGUAUUGGACAACCAUGGUGGUGACGAGUGAUGGAGAAUUAGGUUUUUAUUCUGGAGAGGGAGCCUGAGAAACGACAACCAUAUCCAAGGAAGGCAGCAGGCACACAAAUUACCCAAUCCUGACAUGGGGAGGUAGUGACAAUAAAUAACAAUUCUGGGCUCAUUAAGUUUUGUAAUUGGAAUGAGUACAAUUUAAAUCCAUUAACGGGGAUCCAUUGGAGGGCAAGUUUGGUGCCCACAACUCCGGUAAUUCCUGCUCCAAUAGGGUAUAUUUAAGUUGUUGCAGUUAAAAAGGUUGUAGUUGGAUCUUGGGUCAUAAAGGUUGAUCCACCCACUCGGUGUGCACAUGCCCUUCCAUCCCUUUUUUUGAUGGCAUGCUCAUAGCCUUAAUUGGGUGGGUCAGGGAUCCAAUGAUGUUACUUUGAAAAAAUCAGAGUUUUCAAAGCAAGCUUAUGCUCUGAAUCCAUAAGCAUGGAAUAUAGUAAUAGGAGUUUGGUCCUAUUGUGUUGGCUUCAGGACUACAGUAAUGAUUAAUAGGGACUAUAGGGGCAUCAGUAUUUCAUUGUCAGAG